CUGAAUCAGAGACAGAACGUUCAUGUUAUGGGCAUUCAUUAAUCUAAAGACAUCCUCCGUUCAAAGUUAUUAAUAAGGCAUUCCCUUUUCACACCAUUCAUGUGAUAAAGUUACAUUCUCAACAUCACUUCGUGAUUCCGGGAGUUAUUGCGUGAAGGUGUUUAACUUGCUGGAUAAUUGAGUGAAAAGGGAGCUAGCGAGAAGAAUGUGGAUGUCUGUGCUGGAUUGUGAGUGAUGACGCGUGCAAGCAAGACAACAACAGUUACCACAGCGAGCAGGAUGCAGUUCAUGGCUUGAUCUGAUAGUAGAGCGGAGAAUGGGAAGCGGCGACCUGACAAAAGCUGAGAUGAUAAAGCUGGAUAAAGAAGAACGCGAUCACCUGACACGUCUUCAUGGCCUGACCCAAUGGUAGAGCGGAGAAUGGGAAGCGGCGACCUGACAAGAGCUGAGAUGAUAGAGCUGGAUAAAGAAGGACAUGGUCACCUGACACGUCUUCACCACAAAAUUUCAAAUGCUAUUAGAUUAUUAAUGAUAAUCUUAAACUAUAAUUUACCUUAUUAGUAAGUUUAUUUAUUUUACUUAGCCUUGUUGUGCAAGCUCUCUGGAGCUUGUGCAGAGGCAGCAGCUUUUGCCAGAGGGGAACUGGAAUCCCCUGGUUGGGCCUGGGUUCUCCUGAGGUUUUUUUUCUCGAUUAGAGUU